rnacentral:rRNA from 1 species
GACGAACGCUGGCGGCGUGCUUAACACAUGCAAGUCGAACGGAAAGGCCCUGCUUUUGUGGGGUGCUCGAGUGGCGAACGGGUGAGUAACACGUGAGUAACCUGCCCUUGACUUUGGGAUAACUUCAGGAAACUGGGGCUAAUACCGGAUAGGAGCUCCUGCUGCAUGGUGGGGGUUGGAAAGUUUCGGCGGUUGGGGAUGGACUCGAGGCUUAUCCGCUUGUUGGUGGGGUAGUGGCUUACCAAGGCUUUGACGGGUAGCCGGCCUGAGAGGGUGACCAGGCACAUUGGGACUGAGGUACGGCCCAGACGGCUACGGGAGGCAGCAGGGGGGAAUAUUACACAGUGGGCGGAAGCCUGAUGCAGCAGCGCCGCGUGCGGGAUGACGGCCCUCGGGUUGUAAACCGCUUUCGCCUGUGACGAAGCGUGCUUGACGGUAAUGGGUAAAGAAGCACCGGCUAACUACGUG